rnacentral:siRNA from 1 species
GCCGUAAAGAUGUUGAACGUGC